UACAGGGGGGGCAAGCGUUGUUCGGAAUUACUGGGCGUAAAGGGUUCGUAGGUGGCCACUUAAGUCAGACGUGAAAUCCCUCAGCUUAACUGGGGAACUGCGUCCGAUACUGGCAGGCUUGAAUCCGGGAGAGGGAUGCGGAAUUCCAGGUGUAGCGGUGAAAUGCGCAGAUAUCAGGAGGAACACCGGUGGCGAAGGCGGGUCUCUGGGCCGAUACUGACGCUGGAGGAGCGAAAGCGUGGGGAGCGAACAGG
rnacentral:rRNA from 1 species